rnacentral:rRNA from 1 species
GGAGGUAGUGACAAUAAAUCACAAUGCGGGACUAUUCGUCUUGCAAUUGGAUUGAGAACAAUGUACAACUCUUAUCGAUAAGCCAUUGGAGGGCAAGUCUGGUGCCAGCAGCCGCGGUAAUUCCAGCUCCAAUAGCGUAUAUUAACGUUGUUGCAGUUAAAAAGCUCGUAGUUGAAGUGUGGGUGGUGCCUACUUCAUGACUUCGGUUGUGUGGUGGAUCACCACCCCCUUCCAGUAUCCAGUAGUGGGUAUUCAGUUACUUACUAUUGUGUGUUGGUCGUUUACUGUGAGAAAAUUAGAGUGUUCAAAGCAGGCGUUUGCUUGAAUAGAUUAGCAUGGAAUAAUAAUUGAAGGCUUUCGUGUUCGAUUUGAUUGGUUUGUUCAUGGAAGCAAGGUUAAAAGGAACAGUUGGGGGUAUUCAUAUUCACUAGUUAGAGGUGAAAUUCUCGGAUUUAUGGAAGAUGAACAAGUGCGAAAGCA